UUUUUGUUUUUGUUUUUGUUUUUUUGUACCAGGGAUUGAACUCAGAACCUUGUGCUUGUCAGAUAGGCGUGGCACCUCUAAGCUACUUCCCCGGCCUGAUUCUUGCAAUCUUCAGAUUCUAUUACCAAAAAAUCAUGAAGCCGAAGUGGAAGUCCUGAGAUCCUACUCCAGCAGCCUGUAAUACAUGUAAAGAUGUAUUCAUAGAGUUAGACCAGAACCACUUCACUCAGAAAUUGGCAAAAUUGUGUGGAGGUACUUCUGGUAAGUUGUGUGGCUUUGCCUUGCUUUCAAUUUAGAGUUCAGGAGCAAAUGAAGGGGG
rnacentral:lncRNA from 1 species